rnacentral:rRNA from 1 species
GACGAACGCUGGCGGCGUGCCUAAUACAUGCAAGUUGAGCGAUGAAGAUUGGUGCUUGCACCAAUUUGAAGAGCAGCGAACGGGUGAGUAACGCGUGGGGAAUCUGCCUUUGAGCGGGGACCACCAUUGGAAACCAAUUCUAAUACCGCAUAACAACUUUAAACAUUAGUUUUAAGGUUGAAAGAUGCCAUUGCAACACUCCAAGGUGAUCCCCGCUUGUAUUAGCUUGUUUGUGAGGUAAAGGCCCACCAAGGCGAUGAUACAUAGCCGACCUGAGAGGGUGAUCGGCCACAUUGGGACUGAGACACGGCCCAAACUCCUACGGGAGGCAGCAGUAGGGAAUCUUCGGCAAUGGACGAAAGUCUGACCGAGCAACGCCGCGUGAGUGAAGAAGGUUUUCGGAUCGUAAAACUCUGUUGGUAGAGAAGAACGUUGGUGAGAGUGGAAAGCUCAUCAAGUGACGGUAACUACCCAGAAAGGGACGGCUAACUACGUG